rnacentral:lncRNA from 1 species
GUAUUAAGCAUUAAUGUUACAUUUUGAGUCAAGCGUGACUCAUUUUAGAUGUAUUGGUCUUUGUACCAAGGGUCACAGAUGGUGAGCAAGGAUUAGGAAAGCCGAAGCUAGGUGUUUGUAACGUUUUUAGGUCAGAUGCGACUUACUUAACGUUGACCUUAAGACCAGAUAGGGUCUAAGAAGAUCUUACGUCACAGAUGGUGAUAGAUCAUAGAUAGUAACAGGUUGCAGAUGGCGACCUUGAUGUUUGACUUCAUGACCAGAUGGGGUCUGAAGAUCAUGAGUCACAGAUGGUGAUCAAUGGUUGAGCUGAGACCAGAUGGGGUCUAAUGAUUAUAGGUCACAGAUGGUGACAGGUUGCAGAUGGCGACCUUGAUGUCGAUUUCCUGACUAGACG